GGCGCAUUCGUCUAGUGGUCCAGGACGCAGCCCUCUCAAGGCUGAGAUCACGGGUUCAAAUCCCGUAUGCGCUA
rnacentral:tRNA from 1 species